rnacentral:rRNA from 1 species
GACGAACGCUGGCGGCGUGCUUAACACAUGCAAGUCGAACGGGCUUGGUUCUUCGGAGUCAAGUUAGUGGCGAACGGGUGAGUAACACGUGGGUGACCUGCCUCGUACUUUGGGAUAAGCCUGGGAAACUGGGUCUAACACCGGAUAGGACCGCAUGCUGCAUGGUGUGUGGUGGAAAGCUUUGGCGGUACGGGAUGGGCCCGCGGCCUAUCAGCUUGUUGGUGCGGUAGUGGCGUACCAAGGCGACGACGGGUAGCCGGCCUGAGAGGGCGACCGGCCACACUGGGACUGAGACACGGCCCAGACUCCUACGGGAGGCAGCAGUGGGGAAUAUUGCACAAUGGGCGCAAGCCUGAUGCAGCGACGCCGCGUGAGGGAUGACGCCU